AUGUGAGAAGCAAAACUUGCAAUCAGUUUCGACCUGAUCCUAGAUAAUUAACUUAUCCUCACUUU
rnacentral:tRNA from 1 species